rnacentral:rRNA from 1 species
UACGUAGGGGGCAAGCGUUGUCCGGAUUUAUUGGGCGUAAAGAGCGCGUAGGCGGUCAGGUAGGUCGGUUGUGAAAACUGGAGGCUCAACCUUCAGAGGUCGACCGAAACCCCCUGGCUAGAGUCCGGGAGAGGAGAGUGGAAUUCCUGGUGUAGCGGUGAAAUGCGCAGAUAUCAGGAAGAACACCCGUGGCGAAAGCGGCUCUCUGGAACGGUACUGACGCUGAGACGCGAAAGCGUGGGGAGCGAACAGG